ACGAUUGAUUGCUUAACAUAUGCUCGUUCUGUUUAGACUUCUUCUGAGUUUAAAGAUAAUCAUGCGGAACCCUAGUCAGGCAGAGGGAUAGGACACAUGACAAAGAGUGGCCCCCAGAUAGCAAUUAUUUUCCUUUGCGUUUCCACAGUUCACCCUAGAAGGAUAAAUGUAACUGCCUGCCUCUCUUCCUGCCAUUUUCUUUCAUGAGUACUGUUUGAAAAGUUAUUUUAAUCUUUUAUAAAGAUAUGGAAAUCACAAUCAUUUUCUCAUAUAAAACACCUCACAAAAGUUGGCAAAAGCCGUCAUGUCCAUUCUAAUGUAUUUUUCCUUUCUUAAAUUAUUGAAGUGCAACAAAGAAGCGGAAAUGAUCCAUAAGUGAAGUUUCUGAUCUUGGUGACUAGGGAUUUGUAUUUAGUUGCCUAUUAACAAUAAGGUUUUUAACAAAUCCCCAUCUUUUUUCCUGAAGAUGCCUUAAUUCUUAGUGUUUCUUAAGAACCGUUAGCUCAUCUUUUUGGGGUUACGAGACUCUUGUACUCCUGAAGGCUCACAGUGACACAUAUGUUGAGGACUGAUAUAGAGACACAUGAUUCCUGACAUGCUUCCACUCUGCUGAAGCUUCAGGUCCACAGAUAGUGCUUCUCCUCUGUCAGGAAAGGAACUUCCUCUAAUGGCCAGAUUGCACUUUCCUCGUUUUUUGUUUUUUGUUUUGUGUGUGUGUGUGUGUGUGUGUGUGUGUGUGUGUGUGUGUGUUUUAUGGUAGUUUAAUACAUUUUUCACAGUUGCAUUUCUGGGUCAUCUAGCUGAAGUCCCAAGUUGAUGUAUUUCUUCCCUCUCAAGGAGGGGAAUCAUUUUCCAUCCUCAUGUUUUACCACAGAUGUUCUCAAAUCUCUACCUGGAAUUGGGAUCCAGCAUUGGCUGAGACCAGAACAGAGAACUAGGUUCAUGUGUUCACAGAUUAGCUUCUACCUCUUCAGUAAAGCUGUUUGGAUAGACAAGAAUGGGAGCCCAUAUCCUGCCAAAGGGAAUGCUUGGACUUUAUGGGGAUUUCCCCAGAUGCUGUGCAGAGCAGCGGGUGGGCAGAGAGGUAUCUCUGAACCUGGCAGUGAAAUCAUCACCUUCUCAAGCAGCCUGUUCCUGAACUCCUUUAAGGAGUGCUCAUAAAACCUUUGUUGGCAUGUGAUACCUUAAUACCAUGAGUAGUUGGAAACUCAUUGUGUUCUCUGUCUUCAUAUCCUCAUGUAAUGUCCUAUGUAAUCAUUGCCAGUUACCUAUUUGAUUUCAUGUAUCCCAAAUAAACAGUCUGUGUCUGAAAUUAAUUAUGUUUGUGUCUCUGUCUGUUUUGGUUGAUUACUAAGACACAGAGUGCUUGUUCUUUAAGUUAAAAAGGUGAGUCUGUUAGAUAUUAAUGAGGGCUCACUCUGGAGAAGUGCCUGAUGAUUAGCGAACUUCUUCCUGCAUUCAAAAAGUAACCUUUGAUUGGUUUCCCAGAGUAAAUCCUAGAGGUUGUCACUGUUCAACUGAGACAUCUUCACAGUGACUAACACAACCCUCUCUGGGUUGCAGACCACCAGGUCAAUCUCAAAAAACCUGAAGUCUUUAUAGCAGUGUGGAGCAGGGUUCAGGUUCAUGUUGCUAAUGUGUGUAAUUUCUGUGGAACAUCAACCAACCACUUUCUGGACACAAAGACCCUGACUUACCUAAAACAUUUCCUAUGGUGUAAAAAUCCCAUGGUGGCCAGUUUCCAGUACUAUCACACCACCAAUUCACAUGGAGUUUGAAAUUAAGGCACAAAGGCCAGAAUCAUAUCCUGUGUCUACCAGAAUUUGUAGCUAUCAGUCACUUUGAGAGAAAUUAACAAAUAAGAGCAAAGGGUCAUGAGAUGGUUAAGAAAUGGUGUUUUGAUUACUAAUGGCUUUAGGUUUUCAAAUAAAAUAAUAUGUAGUGAUAGCUGUUAACUUAGUGUUUUCUAAUUACUUAUUAUUAUUAUUAUCAUUGAUGGUUAGCAAAAAAUACUAAAAACGUCUUCUUUCAUGAGCAGGUCAGAAUCCAGCUUGGGCAGAUCACGGGUUUUCAGGAGAAGACAAAGAUUCCCUUUAAUACCAAUCUCACUGUCAAAGCUAUUUAUGAUGCUUCUGCACACAGCAGUGGAGGUGAGGAAACCUUCACUGAGUUCUGAAAACAGGGAAAAGCCAGAGGAAUCAGGAACACAUUUAAACACAUAGACAGUCCAAGUUUUGCCGGCCAUUUUAGUCAGCGAAAAUUGAGAUUAAAAACUACAAAUUUCUCAAGGAAUGAGUUAGUGCAUCCAGCUGGUUACCACCCUAAGAGGAGGAAAACAAGCAAACGCUGAAAACUCUCUCUCUCUCUCUCUAGGCAGUCUGGGAAAUUCUGUGAAGCAGUGGAUGAUGUGAACACUGCUGUACCUGGAGCUGACCUUCCUAGCCCCAAGCUUGCAGCAGCUACAACAAUUUAGAGUGGAUGUGUGUAGCCCAUCAGCUCACACAAUGCGCAUGAGUGAUAGGACUCAGCGUGAGAUGCACUCUUCUUUUAACAUGUUCAAUACAUGUACAGAUAAAUGUAUGUGCCAUGUAAAACACAGUUUUAUCAAAAGAAAGCCUAUCAAAUUUGAAGCGUGGGUUAGUUUAUAAUUUCUCUCAUUACUCCAGGUGGUUGAAUUGAGUCAUCCUGCAAAUCUACUAUCCAUGCACGUCAGCCAUCUUGACGGGGUGAAGUGCACAGGGUGCUAGCCUGUAGCCUAACAGCUUCCAAACAG
rnacentral:lncRNA from 1 species